UACGUAGGGGGCCAGCGUUGUCCGGAAUCAUUGGGCGUAAAGCGUGCGUAGACGGCUAUCUAAGUCGGGUGUGAAAGCCCCGGGCUCAACCUGGGAAUUGCAUUCGAGACUGAAUAGCUAGGGUACGGUAGAGGGAAGCGGAAUUUCCGGUGUAGCGGUGAAAUGCGCAGAUAUCGGGAAGAACACCCGUGGCGAAGGCGGCUCUCUGGGACGGUACUGACGCUGAGACGCGAAAGCGUGGGUAGCAAACAGG
rnacentral:rRNA from 1 species